rnacentral:rRNA from 1 species
AUUGAACGCUGGCGGCAUGCCUUACACAUGCAAGUCGAACGGCAGCACGGGUGCUUGCCCCUGGUGGCGAGUGGCGAACGGGUGAGUAAUACAUCGGAACAUGUCCUGUAGUGGGGGAUAGCCCGGCGAAAGCCGGAUUAAUACCGCAUACGAUCCACGGAUGAAAGCGGGGGACCUUCGGGCCUCGCGCUAUAGGGUUGGCCGAUGGCUGAUUAGCUAGUUGGUGGGGUAAAGGCCUACCAAGGCGACGAUCAGUAGCUGGUCUGAGAGGACGACCAGCCACACUGGGACUGAGACACGGCCCAGACUCCUACGGGAGGCAGCAGUGGGGAAUUUUGGACAAUGGGCGAAAGCCUGAUCCAGCAAUGCCGCGUGUGUGAAGAAGGCCUUCGGGUUGUAAAGCACUUUUGUCCGGAAAGAAAUCCUUGACUCUAAUACCGUCGGGGGAUGACGGUACCGGAAGAAUAAGCACCGGCUAACUACGUG